GGAGGGGUGGGGUGGUGGCGGAGUGGGAGGGGCUGGCUGCGCGAGAGGGCCCGCCCCGGCACGGCGCUUCCUGUCCUAGGCCACGCCCACUUCCGCCCCAGGGAGGGCGGGGCCGUGGAGAAGCCGCGAGGAGGGGCUGGGGGCGAGGAGGGGCUGGGGGGCGAGGAGGGGCGGCGGGUAGAAGCAGAACGGGCGCGGUUGGAGGUGCUCACGUAGGAAAGGACGUUCAUCCCGCCUAGAUGUGCUCAUGUUCUUCGGGGAUGUCAGGAAGCUGGGCCCUAGAGAGGGACAUCGGCCUCGCCCUUGCUUGCUGACCUACUUUUACAAGGAGUGUGUGAAAUUGGGGGGAAAUAGAUCCCUCCUCAUCCUUAAGCGUGAGAGUUGGUACAACCUUUCGUGGGAUAGCUUUGUAGUGAAACUUAUUGUGCAAAGAAUUAAGAGAGGAGACUGACGUUUUGAGCCAGCGUGACUAAGGGAGUGAUCAAUGCCAUUGCACAGCUAGAAAAGCAAAGAAGAGAAACAGAUUUGGUGGGAAAUGAUUAAUUCCAUUUUGGACACACUGAAUUUGUGAUUUCCACAGGACAGAAAGAUAAAAAUGUUCAAAAGGUGCCCACAGCCAUCAGUCCUCUUUUCUGCUUAAGUGAAGAUGUCUCCCAGAAAUCAUAGGAUCUCCCAUGGUGUCGAGUUGCCUCCGUCAUCACCUAAAGCUCCAAAAUUUCUAGCUUUUAUUUUCAGCUUUCUGCUAUCUCCACCUGUUUGCUCCACCAGCAUCUCCAGUUUAAGUUGUCAAAGCAAAGCUUGGUUUCUUCCAUAGUCCCUGUCAAAUCUGCCGCUUUUCCACUGUUCCCUGUUUGGGAAAUGUUUACCAUGAUCAUGUAGUCACUCUGGUGAGAAACUUCAAAGUUAUUUUUAGGUCCUGCUUUUUUCUUAUAUCCCUUCAUCUAGUUAAAUGCCAAGCUUCAUGGAUUCUACUUUUACAGUAUUCUUGCACUCACCCUCCCUCUUGCUUUCUCUCUGCCGUUCGCCUGGGUAGGCAACCACUCUUCUGGAUGGUGCAGCAGCCUCUUUACUGGUCUUCCCACUUCUAAUCUCUCCCCAAACAAGUCAUUCUCUACACUGGCGCCACGGUGAGAGUCCUGAAACAAAGUUUCAGUUCACCCAUCUUUCACUACCUUCCGCAUCGUGCUGGAGCACCCCAGACCACUUGUUAUUUCUUGAACCACCCCCUGGGAUUUAGGAUGAUUUAAAGGCUCAAUGCCAAUGUCUUCUCCAUGAAGCCUUCACCUUGCUCACCUACUCUCCUGGGCUCUCAGCACUUGACAGUA
rnacentral:lncRNA from 1 species